GUUAUAUACAGUAGAGAGGCUAUAUACAGUAGAGAGGCUAUAUACAGUAGAGAGGCUAUAUACAGUAGAGAGGUUAUAUACAGUAGAGAGGCUAUAUACAGUAGAGAGGCUAUAUACAGUAGAGAGGCUAUAUACAGUAGAGAGGCUAUAUACAGUAGAGAGGCUAUAUACAGUAGUGAGGCUAUAUACAGUAGAGAGGCUAUAUACAGUAGAGAGGUUAUAUACAGUAGAGAGGCUAUAUACAGUAGAGAGGUUAUAUACAGUAGAGAGGCUAUAUACAGUAGAGAGGCUAUAUACAGUAGAGAGGCUAUAUACAGUAGAGAGGCUAUAUACAGUAGAGAGGCUAUAUACAGUAGAGAGGCUAUAUACAGUAGAGAGGCUAUAUACAGU
rnacentral:lncRNA from 1 species